rnacentral:rRNA from 1 species
AGCGAACGCUGGCGGCAGGCCUAACACAUGCAAGUCGAACGAAGCCUUCGGGCUUAGUGGCGGACGGGUGAGUAACACGUGGGAACGUACCUUUUGGUUCGGAACAGCUCAGGGAAACUUGAGCUAAUACCGGAUGAGCCCUUAGGGGGAAAGAUUUAUCGCCGAAAGAGCGGCCCGCGUUAGAUUAGCUAGUUGGUGAGGUAAAGGCUCACCAAGGCAACGAUCUAUAGCUGGUCUGAGAGGAUGAUCAGCCACACUGGGACUGACACACGGCCCAGACUCCUACGGGAGGCAGCAGUGGGGAAUCUUGCGCAAUGGGCGAAAGCCUGACGCAGCCACGCCGCGUGAAUGAUGAAGGUCUUAGGAUUGUAAAAUUCUUUUACCAGGGACGAUAAUGACGGUACCUGGAGAAAAAGCCCCGGCUAACUUCGUGCCAGCAGCCGCCGCAACAC